CCUUCUCAAACAAUCAUGUUUGGUAGUGAGUGAUACUCUGUCAAGGGUUAACUUGAAAUUGCUAGCCUGUUAUUUGGUUGUGAUUUUGCUGGCUUGGAUGACUUUGUCCAGUCUAGCUAAUACCGAAUUGUCGUAUUAGGUUUUACCAACUUCGGCAGACUGUGUGUUGGCUCGGGCGCUUUAAAGACUUUGUCGUAAACGAUUUAUCGUUUGUUUGAGCUUUUGCAUACGCAAUCCGGCGAACAAUACUCUCAAAGU
rnacentral:rRNA from 1 species